UACGUAGGAUGCAAGCGUUGUCCGGAUUUAUUGGGCGUAAAGAGCGCGCAGGUGGUUUGGCAAGUUGGAUGUGAAAUUUCCUGGCUUAACUAGGAAGGGUCAUUCAAAACUGCUGAGCUUGAGUGCAGCAGAGGAAAGUGGAAUUCCCGGUGUAGUGGUGAAAUGCGUAGAUAUCGGGAGGAACACCGGUGGCGAAGGCGGCUUUCUGGCCAGUUACUGACGCUCAUGCGCGAAAGCUGGGGUAGCGAACCGGAUUAGAUACCCCCGUAGU
rnacentral:rRNA from 1 species